rnacentral:rRNA from 1 species
UUGAUCCUGCCGGACCCGACUGCUAUCAGAGUGGGACUAAGCCAUGCGAGUCAACGCAGCAAUGCGUGGCAUACGGCUCAGUAACACGUAGUCAACAUGCCCAGGGGACGUGGAUAACCUCGGGAAACUGAGGAUAAACCGCGAUAGGCCAAGGUUUCUGGAAUGGACACUGGCUGAAACCUAUAUGGCCCCUGGAUUGGACUGCGGCCGAUCAGGCUGUUGGUGAGGUAAUGGCCCACCAAACCUGUUACCGGUACGGGCUCUGAGAGGAGGAGCCCGGAGAUGGGCACUGAGACAAGGGCCCAGGCCCUAUGGGGCGCAGCAGGCGCGAAACCUCUGCAAUAGGCGAAAGCCUGACAGGGUUACUCUGAGUGAUUCCCGCUAAGGGGAUCUUUUGGCACCUCUAAAAAUGGUGCAGAAUAAGGGGUGGGCAAGCCUGGUGUCAGCCGCCGCGGUAAUACCAGCACCCCGAGUGGUCGGGACGAUUAUUGGGCCUAAAGCAUCCGUAGCCGGUUCUACAAGUCUUCCGUUAAAUCCACCUGCUUAACAGAUGGGCUGCGGAGGAUACUAUGGAGCUAGGAGGCGGGAGAGGCAAGCGGUACUUAGUGGGUAGGGGUAAAAUCCGUUGAUCCAUUGAAGACCACCAGUGGCGAAGGCGGCUUGCCAGAACGCACUCGACGGUGAGGGAUGAAAGCUGGGGGAGCAAACCGGAUUAGAUACC